GACGAACGCUGGCGGCGUGCCUAAUACAUGCAAGUUGAGCGCUGAAGGUUGGUACUUGUACCGACUGGAUGAGCAGCGAACGGGUGAGUAACGCGUGGGGAAUCUGCCUUUGAGCGGGGGACAACAUUUGGAAACGAAUGCUAAUACCGCAUAAAAACUUUAAACACAAGUUUUAAGUUUGAAAGAUGCAAUUGCAUCACUCAAAGAUGAUCCCGCGUUGUAUUAGCUAGUUGGUGAGGUAAAGGCUCACCAAGGCGAUGAUACAUAGCCGACCUGAGAGGGUGAUCUGCCACAUUGGGACUGAGACACGGCCCAAACUCCUACGGGAGGCAGCAGUAGGGAAUCUUCGGCAAUGGACGAAAGUCUGACCGAGCAACGCCGCGUGAGUGAAGAAGGUUUUCGGAUCGUAAAACUCUGUUGGUAGAGAAGAACGUUGGUGAGAGUGGAAAGCUCAUCAAGUGACGGUAACUACCCAGAAAGGGACGGCUAACUACGUG
rnacentral:rRNA from 1 species